rnacentral:lncRNA from 1 species
UUCAAAGACACACACUUGAUUUUACUUAGCAAUUUCAAUCAAGUAGACACACACUUGAUCUUACUUAGAAGCUUCAAUCAAGUAGACACACACUCAUGCUUAAAAGCUUUGAGUGACAAAUAACAACUCAAAAAUCAGAUCAAUUCAAUCAUCUAUGGAUGAAUUGAAUGGCUUACAAGUCACACGACCACACAAGACAC